UGCUCAUGUCCGCUGGCUGUUCUGACGUUCGAAAAUAUGGUUCUAAUAUCGCAGUUUAGGGACUCUACCAACUCUCGGCAUCCUUUUCCUAGAACGCUCACCGAAGCCCCACUGUCAAGUAGCCCUCUAAUUCUGACUCCUUGAAGUUCAACCUCGGCGAACAUUCUAGGGUCCUCGUUUAGACCAGCUCUUCUAAUCGAUUCAAUAACGUUUUUAAUCUCCUUUCUCUUUCUAGCGAAUUUCUGACGAACCUUUGGCACCUUUCUCGGAUCGGGAUUCUCAUUAAAAAUUCUGGAGCGACAUUCAUUAUAAUGGUCUUGCCUUAUCUCCAAUGAUAUAUGUAUGGGGCGGUAUGCGAGGGAUGUGAUGUGUGCGGUAUAUUUGUAAUUCUGACUCUCAUUCGAGCAACCUUCUGGAACGUGUAUAAUCAAAUCUAAAAACAAAUCAACAUGCAAAUCCUCUAACAUCAUUAUCUAGAGCGGUUAUCAAAUCGUUAUUCCAACAUUUG